rnacentral:tRNA from 1 species
UGUCCAGGGAAGGGAAUCGAACCCACAGUGUUCCGCUUACCGGGCAGAUGCCAUGUCCACUAGGCUACCGC